rnacentral:rRNA from 1 species
CCCUUAGAUGUCCUGGGCCGCACGCGCGCUACACUGAGUGUCUGAGAUACGAGUCUGCCUGGUCCGGCAAGGUCUAGGUAAUCGCUAAAAGACACAUCAUGCUUGGGAUAGAUUAUUGCAAAUAUUAAUCUUGAACGAGGAAUUCCUAGUAAGCGCAAGUCAACAGCUUGCGUUGAUUACGUCCCUGCCCUUUGUACACACCGCCCGUCGCUACUACUGAUUGGAGGUUUAAGCGAGGUUCUCGAACUGCUAGCGACUUAGCUUCGGUGAGGUCGCGGUGUGGGAAGUGAACCUAGCUUUGGUGUCUAGAGGAAGUAAAAGUCGUAACA